UACGUAGGGUGCGAGCGUUAAUCGGAAUUACUGGGCGUAAAGCGUGCGCAGGCGGUUUUGUAAGCCAGAUGUGAAAUCCCCGGGCUUAACCUGGGAAUGGCAUUUGGGACUGCAAGGCUGGAGUUUGGUAGAGGAGAACGGAAUUCCCGGUGUAGCGGUGGAAUGCGCAGAUAUCGGGAGGAACACCCGUAGCGAAGGCGGUUCUCUGGGCCAAUACUGACGCUGAGGAGCGAAAGCGUGGGGAGCAAACAGG
rnacentral:rRNA from 1 species